rnacentral:misc_RNA from 1 species
AACAUCGCGCACCUGCGGGAACCUGCGGAAGGAUCAUUACAGAGUUGCAAAACUCCCUAAACCAUUGUGAACGUUACCUAAACCGUUGCUUCGGCGGGCGGCCCGGGUCCUUCCCGGCGCCCAUCGGCCCUCGCGGGCGCCCGCCGGAGGUAAACCAAACUAUUGCAUUGUAUGGCCUCUCUGAGUCUUCUGUACUGAAUAAGUCAAAACUUUCAACAAUGGAACUCAGAUCGGAAGAGC